rnacentral:tRNA from 1 species
UCCCUGGUAGUCCAGUGGUUAAGACUCUGUACUGCCAACACAGGGGGCCUGGGUUCAAUCCCUGAUCAAGGGA